AGCAUCUCUCCCCUUCUCCUCCGAUAACACCCACAUCCCCCUCUUCGAUGUAUGAAACGGACCACCACCACCAUCGUCGGGUGGAGGUGGUGAGCGACUGACCGGCCACACCCCAUUCAACUCACCUGCGUCUCUUCACACCCACUUGAAAUCGGAGGUCGGCUGAGCGAGAGAGAGGAACCAAGGAGGUGGUGAGCGACUGACCGGCCACACCCCAUUCAACUCACCUGCGUCUCUUCACACCCACUUGAAAUCGGAGGUCGGCUGAGCGAGAGAGAGGAACCAAGGAGGUGGUGAGCGACGAAACCAGAGCCGUCGCCGGUCGGCGGCGGCGGCAGCGGCAGUGGAGGCUAGAUGACGGCGGCGACAUUGUUUUCGACAACUUUUAUGGAUGAUGGUGGUGGUGACGAGCCGAUGAAGCUUCGCCGACGGUGGCGGAGCCACGGCGGUGAUAGUGACGGUGGUGCUUCAGAUUUGUUCAGAUGGGUCAGAUUCAUGCUCAGUUCUUAGUUAGCUCAAGAUGUAAUCUCCGGUGCAGAUUUGGUCACGGGUUCGAGUUCGAGUCAACUUUGGUGCAACACGGUUUAACACGGGUCGACUCAGUCUCGGUUCGGUCAACCCGGGUCAGACCCGGUCAACUAAGUGAGUCAACUCAGUUCGGUUUUUGGUCAAUACGAGUCAACGACUUGGUUCAGAUUUGUUUCGGGACAUAUUGGGUUCAGUUUGACACAUUUCGGUCCAGUUUCGGUUCACACGGUUCGUAUCGGUCAACCUCAGUCAAAGUACGGUCAAACUGAAUCAACGAGAAGUUUCGGGUCAACCACAGUCAACACUGGGUCAAAACUCGGUCAACCCAAGCGCGGAACAAUAUAGUUGCACGCUAGCUAAAUGCACGUUCUUGGAACGACACUUCGGAAUCACGCUAGGCUAGCAUUGCACUUGGAAGUCCAGGU